UGACACUGGCGGCAGGCUUAACACAUGCAAGUCGAGCGGAAACGAUGGUAGCUUGCUCCAGGCGUCCAGCGGCGGACGGGUGAGUAAUACUUAGGAAUCUACCUAGUAGUGGGGGGAUAGCACGGGGAAACUCGUAUUAAUACCGCAUACGACCUACGGGAGAAAGGGGGCAGUUUACUGCUCUCGCUAUUAGAUGAGCCUAAGUCGGAUUAGCUAGAUGGUGGGGUAAAGGCCUACCAUGGCGACGAUCUGUAGCUGGUCUGAGAGGAUGAUCAGCCACACCGGGACUGAGACACGGCCCGGACUCCUACGGGAGGCAGCAGUGGGGAAUAUUGGACAAUGGGGGAAACCCUGAUCCAGCCAUGCCGCGUGUGUGAAGAAGGCCUUUUGGUUGUAAAGCACUUUAAGCAGUGAAGAAGACUCCGUGGUUAAUACCCACGGACGAUGACAUUAGCUUGCAGAAUAAGCACCGGCUAACUCUGUGCCAGCAGCCGCGGUAAUACAGAGGGUGCAAGCGUUAAUCGGAAUUCUGGGCGUAAAGGGAGCCGUAGGUGGCUCAAUAAGCCAGAUGUGAAAUCCCGGCUCAACCUGGGAACUGCAUCUGAUCUGUUGACUAAAUUUUGAAAGAAG
rnacentral:rRNA from 1 species